UACCUAGAUACUGGAAACUGUGCUGUAGCUGGAGAAUUUCUCUCCAGCUCCCACCGCCAAGUCCCGCCAGUCCCAGAGCCCACUUAUAAAAUAAACACACAGACUCUUACAUUAUUUAAACUGCUUGGCCAUUAGCUCAGGCCUAUCAUUGUCUAGCUCUCACUCUUAUAUUCAGCCCAUUUCUAUUAAUCUUUACUUUGCCACGUGGCUCGUGGCUUACCGGUACUUUACAUCUUCCUUGUCUUGGCGGUGGCUCCAGCCAGUCUCCCUUUCCUUCCUCCUUCCUCAAUUCUCCUCUCUCCUUGUCCUGCCUAUACUUCCUGCCUGGUCACUGGCCAAUCAGUGCUUUAUUUAUAUAGAGCGAUAUCCACAGCACUGUGCAGCUUUGGUCUACCACACACUGCCCAUCAUCAUGGUACUACAGGCCUCAAAGCAAUAGGUGAGCUGAAUAUGGACUGAAGCCUCUAAAACGAGAGACAAGAUAAAUGAGAAUGAUUAAGAAAUUCACCUUAGGUCCUGUCGUAUUAGUGGACCUGACAAAGGCCCACCAGAGAAUGAAGAUCAAAAGGAGGAAAAGAGGAGGCAACAGAAAAUAAAAUCAACAGGAAAGCCUUAGAAAUAAAGAAUUAACACUCAAGAAUUUGGAUGGAUACACGUCAAUGGCUGGAAAAAUGGAAGAGGGAACAGAUGAACUUGGCUAAGAAGAGCUGUCAUGUUAAGGAGAAGAAUAAACUUCGAGUACCCAGGAACAGCAAACGUUUGAGGGCCAUCAAUGAGAAGAAGCUAAAGAAGUGUCUGAGAAGCAGGCUGUGGUUUGGGAUACACUGCUGUGAUUUGGGAUGCACUGCUGUGGUUUGGGAUGCACUGAGGUGAAGUGUUCAUAUUGGUUCUUUCUGUAGCUCUAAGCAGCUGGACCUGGAACAGGGAAGUCUCCAGGAGUGUUUUAUGGAAGGGGUGACCUGAACUUCACUGGCUGAAGCUUGGAAUAUCUGGAAGUGUUAGAAGACUGAAGAGGAUCAAGGGACAUUAACCAUCAGUACAGAGAGAGGCUAAUAGAAUCUCAUACAGAAGUGACUGUGUAAAGAGAGACUUUAUCUGAGAGAAAUUUUUCCAUCAACAACAACCUCAUUUCUUCAUAUAACAUUCAUAACUUCUUCCUUUAUGAUGAUUUUCUUCUUGAAGUAUCCAAUACAUUAUACUUUCCUAAGGUA